CUCAAAUCAGGUAGGACUACCCGCUGAACUUAAGCAUAUCAU
rnacentral:rRNA from 1 species